UAUACAUUUUUCGACAGAAUUUUUCAUAAUUUUUGUUCUUUUCAUUUUGCUUUUUCCUAUUGCUAUGUUUAAGGGGGCAAUGGAAGGAUAACCUUGCUUGAACCUAAUCGCCUCCUACUCUUUUUGGAUUUCUAGAAGAGCUCUUCCGCUUGAUCCUAAACCAAAGACGUGUACUUCGCUGUGAUCGGACUCUGUUGCCUUGACUGCAAGGUACUCGGUGAAUCCCCGCCUACCGUAAGCGUCCUGGCUUCCUGGAAACCUCUUUAUCUUCUAAGAUGAAGAAUUUUCACGAUUGCAUUAUUGUGGAAUCCUCGAGUCGUCAAACAUUGCAUGAAGCUCAGAGUUGUGUAUAUCUCUCUUGCUGCAAUGUAUCUUGCAGAUGGAUUGGAUUACCACUCCUGUAGAUGGGAUGUCUAUAGUUUCAUGAGCAGGGGUGUUGGUGUGCCAACCCAAUAUCAGGAAGAUCAGAAUUAUCUUCUUCUCCCUUAAGGAAAUGUAAGUUUUUUUGGUUUUUUAAUUUGUGCGUUUUGUUGAUGUAAUUAAUUUUACUAUUUAACAACAUAAAUACGUGGUUAUUUAAGGUUUUAGUUGGGAUUUAGAGUUGUUUUAUGUUGUCUAACUAACCGUAAAAAGGUCUAAGAACCGUAAGAAGGCACAACAGACUUCCAACAGCAGAUAAAAGUAGAGGUGCACUGCCCAUUUUAGAUCUUGGUUCUACUUAGUUUCUAUAGCUAUUUUUCAGUAAAGAAAUCACUAACCACGAAGCGGUUUGAGUUUUUCAUCUGUAUUGGCCAUUCCAUUGUAUUUGUUAGAUGUGCUAACAGAGAAUGUAGAGAACUCGUUUAGAUGCAACCCAGCUAAGAGUUAGAGUUUCAGUGAUCUGGAGAGCAUGAAGUGAAUAAUCUGCAAUGUGUAUGAUGAGUACAGAUGUAUAAUAGGAAACAAUUUUAUUUUUUAAAUCCAUAUAGCCCAUAAUCAUUUUAUUCUUUCCUACCGACGUACAAAAACGAAUGUUAUGAAUUUCGUUUUGGGGUCAAUGGAGUUCCGUUACUGGCCUUUUGCGACGUCCAGACAGGAUGUCCUUCUCGCUUGAAGGUCACAAGAAACAUUACUUAAAACUGGCAUGCGGUGGUGUAGAACUGGGUGAGAAUGACACGUGUUUCAUCACUAUCAGGUACAAUAGCAAGGGUAAGUUAUUUGGUAUUCAUUUUGAUAUAGGUUUUUGUAGACCCAUCCCCAGAAAAAUCACCUGCAGAAGGAAAGGCCAGUUUGCAUUUCAAUCGAAGGUCAUGGAGAUCAAUUCUCGUAUGUAAGGGCAAAUAAAAAGGCGAAAGAAAUCAGUCGAGUGAACAUCUCCGAUAUACAAGAGCUACAGUGCACCACGUGUCACCAUCUGUCACCAUCUGCAUUCUUCGUCGCGCUACCAGUUUCAAUCAUGGUAAACUAUACUGUCGUGCUGUUGUUGGUGUUGUGUCGUUGUUUGCUGGUUCAGCCACUGGUGUACCGAUGACUCUUGGGUGUGGCGGAUACCAAAGCACUACACUGCCGUCUUACUACACAACAUACAACACAACCAGUUGCUACACUAAUGCCCCCAAAUACUACACCACCAAGGAACCAGAGUGUUACACAACUACAAAUGCCGCGCCAGCUUAUUACACCGAGGCUCCCUAACACAACACCACCAAGGCAUUGCGGUACUACACCACUACAUAUCAUGGUCGUAUGAAAGGAGAGAAAAGGAGAAAGAAUUCAGCAGCCGAUUGAGCAUCUCCGUUACGGCUAUAGGAACUGCCGUGCACUAUAUGUCAACAACUUCAUUCUUCGUCGCAUUCCAAGUUUUAAAUAAAGUAAACUAUGGUGUUGUGCUGCUGUUGGGUGUUGUAUCGUUGAUGGUUGGUACAACCAUGGUGUAUCGAUAUCUCCUGGGUAUGGUGGGUACCAACAACAACAUACGCAACAACCGCUUACUACACUGAGCCACCCAGGAUCAAGUUGUUACCCCACCGAAGCGCCGAAGUA
rnacentral:lncRNA from 1 species